rnacentral:rRNA from 1 species
GACGAACGCUGGCGGCGUGCUUAACACAUGCAAGUCGAACGGCAAGGCCCUGCUUUUGUGGUGUGCUCGAGUGGCGAACGGGUGAGUAACACGUGAGUAACCUGCCCUUGACUUUGGGAUAACUUCAGGAAACUGGGGCUAAUACCGGAUAGGAGCUCCUGCUGCAUGGUGGGGGUUGGAAAGUUUCGGCGGUUGGGGAUGGACUCGCGGCUUAUCAGCUUGUUGGUGGGGUAGUGGCUUACCAAGGCUUUGACGGGUAGCCGGCCUGAGAGGGUGACCGGCCACAUUGGGACUGAGAUACGGCCCAGACUCCUACGGGAGGCAGCAGUGGGGAAUAUUGCACAGUGGGCGGAAGCCUGAUGCAGCAACGCCGCGUGCGGGAUGACGGCCUUCGGGUAGUAAACCGCUUUCGCCUGUGACGAAGCGUGAGUGACGGUAAUGGGUAAAGAAGCACCGGCUAACUACGUG